CAGAUUUCAUGGUGGCUUCUCUCGAGGGCGGGGCGUCGACCCGUUGGCUGGGCAGCUGGGAUUGCUGCUAACCCACCCGAGUUCAAGUCCUGGCUUGGACGCACGGUGCUCGCGGAGUUUCUCCUAUAAAAAAUGCCAACGAGAGUUAACCCUUGGGUUGGUCUCUUUUUUUUUAUGGUGGCUUCCCUCACCAGUGGACUGCUCAUGACUCGGCAAGAUAGGGAGUGAGAAAGGACAGACAGUUUGUCACCACCGCUGUUUCUAACAUAUCCCCCCUUCCACCACUGCCUUGCGCCGCCCGGAUCCCAUCCUUGCCACCAUUCCCACUUUGGGAGAUGAACGCGCGGAAAGAAGACUCUCCUUGCAAAGGAAAAAAAUCUCUGGAGUCGAGGCCGCCGCAACAGAGGAAUCAAAAAAGUGAUGAUGCUUGAUGCACAUCAGACGAUGCCAAGUCUCUUUCACAGUCUUUCUGAGGUCGUUGCAACACAAUGAGGAUUAGAGUAUUCUCUUUGAAGGUAUCAAGAAAAUUAAACGUUCUGUAAAAAGAGAUUAAGUACUUCAGGGCAUAACAGAUCAAAAUGGUGGCGCGCCGAUCUGUUCAAAUGGUAGCACUUCGCUGAUGUUGGCGCAGCUACCCUUAUACGGGCGUUGGAUUGGACUGACUUCAGCUCUUCAGAGUGACCGAGUACUACAUACAUACAUGGGUGUGGGCCUCCCCUGCGGAUCCUUGCUACAGCGAAUGAAAAUUGCAGGCAGACAAACACUUGAUGGAACAGGUUGGCUCGAGAAAAGAUGGACAUGCCCAUAUGUCCUUUUAAUUUGUGGGAGGAGGCAGUGGGUCUCCAAAUUCAGAACUUAAUUGUUAACCAUCUCUUGGUUAGUAAUAUUAAAACAUAAAUAACUUCCCAUGUGAUUUCAGGUGAAUGAGAGGACCGUGAAGCUUACAGAGGCUAUGAAAUCUAUGGCGAUCUGAUGUCACAGAGCAGCGUCUGAGCUCUUGAUCACUCGAGUAAACAGCCAUCAAAAAUUAGCGAACUGUGAGUGCUACCUGCACUAUCCAACUGUUACAAUGAACUAUGUUGUUCAGUCCAUCCUUGUGGUGUUGUAAUUUGUAAUUAGUUCUUGGAUCGGUUAUUUUAGAUGGACUACACCAUUAUGUACUA